rnacentral:lncRNA from 1 species
AGUGUGAUUGGAGUAGCAGAAGAGACUAGAAGAUGGGGAUGAAGAAGGAAUCGGGUGAGAGCAAAGGAAGGCCGUGAAGCCAUUGUCAGAAAUUUGUCCUUUAUCCUGACUGAGCAGAAGAAACACUGAAGGAUUUUGAGCAGAGGCAUGUCUUGAUUUCAUUUCAUUUUUAGAGGUAUAGAUAAUUCAGGCUGCUAUUUUGAGACUCGACUGAGAAGAGGUGUGUACUGGCACCCGUUUCCUACAGAUGUGUCCCUCCACUCUUUGAAGCCGAGGGCAAAAUCAUGCUGAAGACCUAGAAAUCCCACCAGUCUGAAGACCAGCUGCAACCACAAUGGGUUAGCCCUUUUCAGGAUGCCUCCUCUUCAGCAUAAAGCAGCCAGAAAGAUUGAUGACCAGCUUCCCCAGGAUUGAGGAACUGAUAAGUGGAAAGAGGGGACUGAAACCACCCCAAUUGUCCCGUAGAAUUGAUGUUUAUGAUCUUUUGGAAUAAACAUAGAUAUUGACCCUCA